AGAGUUUGAUCAUGGCUCAGGAUGAACGCUAGCUACAGGCUUAACACAUGCAAGUCGAGGGGAAACGACAUCGAAAGCUUGCUUUUGAUGGGCGUCGACCGGCGCACGGGUGAGUAACGCGUAUCCAACCUGCCCACCACUUGGGGAUAACCUUGCGAAAGUAAGACUAAUACCCAAUGAUAUCUCUAGAAGACAUCUGAAAGAGAUUAAAGAUUUAUCGGUGAUGGAUGGGGGAUGCGUCUGAUUAGCUUGUUGGCGGGGUAACGGCCCACCAAGGCAACGAUCGGUAGGGGUUCUGAGAGGAAGGUCCCCCACAUUGGAACUGAGACACGGUACAAACUCCUACGGGAGGCAGCA
rnacentral:rRNA from 1 species